UGGGGGAGGCCGGAUCGUGGGCUGUGUCCCCGGCGACCUGUGCUCCCGGCCUGCGCUGUUGGAUUCGCGCUCCCCUCCAAGAGGCUCCCG
rnacentral:pre_miRNA from 1 species